CUGGAUGUAUUCUUGACUUAAUCCCAUGCCCAUCUCUCAGUGGAGAAAGCAAGGAUCUUCAUAGUGAGGGGCUGGGUACCCUGGUUCCUCAGCUCUUGACCAGCUCAGAAGAUGAUUAGCAAGCUGAGAAAUUUGAACCAGAUGAAUUCUAGCCCAGGAAUGCAGGUGGAGGGCAUCUGAAGUGUUGUGAAAGCAGUGGCAUGGAGAUGUCUUCUUGCACCAGCGACUGGCUUUUUUACAGACACAGAGAUGGUGUAACCCUCAUAUGGGGGACCCAAGAGGAUGUUGUAUAUUGCCAAAAACCAGCUACACUGCAUACUCUUAGAGAAGAAAUUGAAAAUGUAUGGACAGCGAUCUCAAUAAGCAAGCUCACGACUGACUGCACUAAAGUUGAAAUGUGUCACUAAGAGUUACUUCUCCUAUUGAAGAUCCUUCCCGUUGGAUGGCACUGGGCAGCAGCAAUCACCCUGUUUUGAUCACACCUGAACGAAACAGUACAUGACUGCGGCUUGCUUCUAAUGGGAUCUUGAUACAAAUUUGUUGAAGGAAUGAAUGAAAAAAAAUGGCAAAUGUGAAGACAAGAAUCCCCAAGAGGUUCUACAGAUGACAUAAUGAUGAUAAGGAUAAUGGUGGUGAGUAUCAUUUUAUCCAGGGUUAUUCUGAGAAAAGAACUUUGAAAAGUGCUAAAUAACUAUAUUUUAGCUUUCCAGCAGUCCUAUUAAGAGGUGAUUAUUACUAUUCCCAUUCUACAGAUCCAGAAACAACCUCAGAGAAUUAACAUAAUUUGUGAGUGAUCAACAAAUAGGAAUAUUUAAAUGAAAAAAAAUUUGUGACAGUAAAAGGCACAUUGCCAUUAAUACUCCUAAAAAUAUUCCCCUUCACUUCGAACACACUUAUCCAUUAUUCUUGCUACUUUCUGAAGCAAUUCCUGAGUGUCUUUUUAUGGCUCCCUCCAUGUUCUGAGUUGAUUCAAAAUAUUUACAGCAAUUUCUGACAAAUAGACGCUAGUGUCUCCUUAUCCACCAGAUCUGGCACUGUGCAACUUCUGGCUCUUUCCUAAAGUCAAAAUGACCCUGAAAGGUAACUGUUUAGAAUUGAUUUAGGACAUGAAGAUAGCCACAACACCACAGAUAAAGACACAAAACAAGACUUUUAGAACUGCUUCAAAAAAUGGCAAGAAUGAAGGGAUACAUGCAAAUUGAGAGAGUAUUUUGAGGGAGAUUAAUGGCAAUGUGACUUUUAUUGUAAUGGUUUUGAAAAAUGAAACAUUCUCCAUAUAUUGUGUUCAUACCUCUGUCCAAAAUCACAGAAAUAGUAAGUAGCAGUUCUAAGACUUCAUCCCAGGUGCAUCUGAUACUGCAAUCAAAAACACUAUCUCAUAGAAAUGGAUUUCCUUUUAGUCCUCUGUGAUUGCUCUUCAAUUUAAAGUUGUACCACAUUCUCCUCAGAUAAAGCAUUAGUCUUUAAGGAGCUGGUGCAGAGGAGGGAAAGCCCAGGACCACCGGGUGUACUUGUGCAAAGUGUGCUUGCAGUACUUCAGAAGCUAUCAGUCGCCAAAACCUUUAUGUGAAUUGUGUCUCCUGGAGGUAUGCAAUGCACAAUAUUCACAAAUUCUUAUGAAUCUGAAAUCUGAGGCUUAUUUGAAGCAAGCAGUUCUUUUACUUUUCAAUCUAAAUGUUGACUGUUUAGGGGAACUGUACAUUUUUCCUGUCUAACUCAGAGAUUAUUUUAGGUAAAAAAACCUAUCCCAAGCGAGCUUUAUCACACUAUCUUAACAGUGGAAAAGUAUUCUUGGUGUAUACUAAGGAUCUUAUUUACUAAAGUAAUUGUUAACAAAGACCAUCCACAAAAAUAUUUCAAGUGGCAAAGAAUCAUGCAAUUAUAAUUCUGAAUAAAUAUUAAAAAUGUUUUUAUUGCCCAGAAAAUUAAAUCAUGUUAUUGAACAGUAUCUCUGACUUUUCUCAGUGUUAUUCAAUAAAGAUUUUCCUAAAGGUGAUUUUGAUUCAUUGUAGGGUAGGCACCAAAAAAUAAAUAACCUGGCAGAUGCAAUGCCAGAUGACAAAUAUGAAAGCACGUUCACUUAAUCUCUGCCUCAUUGUUUCACUAAUCUAUCUUUUUAAAUUUCCAAAGUUCUUCUCAAAGUCUUAGUUUAAGUUAACACUCUAAGCUUUUGAUAUUCAUUCUUUCAUUUAGGAAAUAUUUCCCAAAUCUUAAAAAGAGC
rnacentral:lncRNA from 1 species